rnacentral:rRNA from 1 species
CCUACGGGAGGCAGCAGUAGGGAAUCUUUCACAAUGGGCGAAAGCCUGAUGGAGCAACGCCGCGUGCAGGAUGAAGGCCUUCGGGUUGUAAACUGCUUUUAUAAGCGAGAAAUAUGAUGGUAACUUAUGAAUAAGGAUCGGCUAACUACGUGCCAGCAGUCGCGGUCAUACGUAGGAUCCGAGCAUUAUCCGGAGUGACUGGGUGUAAAGAGUUGCGUAGGUGGCAUAAUAAGUAGCUAGUGAAAUCUGGUGGCUCAACCAUUCAGACUAUUAGCUAAACUGUUAAGCUCGAGACCGUUAGGGGUAACUGGAAUUUCUAGUGUAGGAGUGAAAUCCGUAGAUAUUAGAAGGAACACCAAUAGCGUAGGCAGGUUGCUGGGACGGUUCUGACACUAAGGCACGAAAGCGUAGGGAGCAAACGGGAUUAGAUACCCCUGUAGUC